GAUGAACGCUAGCUACAGGCUUAACACAUGCAAGUCGAGGGGAAACGAUGAGAGAGCUUGCUCUCUUAGUCGUCGACCGGCGCACGGGUGAGUAACGCGUAUCCAACCUGCCUCUGACCAAGGGAUAACCCGUCGAAAGUCGGACUAAUACCUUAUGCAGUCGUCGGAAGUCAUCUGAUGACGACGAAAGAUUUCAUCGGUGAGAGAUGGGGAUGCGUCUGAUUAGCUUGUUGGCGGGGUAACGGCCCACCAAGGCGACGAUCAGUAGGGGUUCUGAGAGGAAGGGUCCCCACAUUGGAACUGAGACACGGUCCAAACUCCUACGGGAGGCAGCAGUGAGGAAUAUUGGUCAAUGGGCGUAAGCCUGAACCAGCCAAGUAGCGUGCAGGAUGACGGCCCUAUGGGUUGUAAACUGCUUUUAUGCGGGGAUAAAGUGAGGGACGUGUCCUUCAUUGCAGGUACCGCAUGAAUAAGGACCGGCUAAUUCCGUG
rnacentral:rRNA from 1 species